AUCGUGAUUAUUGGGUCUAAAGGGUCCGUAGCCGGUUUGGUCAGUCCUCCGGGAAAUCUGACAGUUCAACUGUUAGGCUUUCGGGGGAUACUGCCAGACCUGGAACCGGGAGAGGUAAGAGGUACUACAGGGGUAGGAGUGAAAUCUUGUAAUCCCUGUGGGACCACCUGUGGCGAAGGCGUCUUGCCAGAACGGGUUCGACGGUGAGGGACGAAAGCUGGGGGCAC
rnacentral:rRNA from 1 species